rnacentral:rRNA from 1 species
ACGUAAUAGAUACCCGGGUAGUCCACGCCCUAAACGAUGUCUACUAGUUGUCGGGCCUUAAUUGACUUGGUAAACGCAGCUAAACGCGUGAAAGUAGACCGCCUGGGGAGUACGGUCGCAAGAUUAAAACUCAAAGGAAUUGACGGGGACCCGCACAAGCGGUGGAUGAUGUGGAUUAAUUCGAUGCAACGCGAAAAACCUUACCUACCCUUGACAUGGAAGGAAUCCCUGAGAGAUUGGGGAGUGCUCGAAAGAGAACCUUUACACAGGUGCUGCAUGGCUGUCGUCAGCUCGUGUCGUGAGAUGUUGGGUUAAGUCCCGCAACGAGCGCAACCCUUGUCAUUAGUUGCUACGAAAGGGCACUCUAAUGAGACUGCCGGUGACAAACCGGAGGAAGGUGGGGAUGACGUCAAGUCCUCAUGGCCCUUAUGGGUAGGGCUUCACACGUCAUACAAUGGUACAUACAGAGGGCCGCCAACCCGCGAGGGGGAGCUAAUCCCAGAAAGUGUAUCGUAGUCCGGAUUGUAGUCUGCAACUCGACUGC